rnacentral:rRNA from 1 species
UGGGGAAUAUUGCACAAUGGGGGAAACCCUGAUGCAGCGACGCCGCGUGAGCGAAGAAGGUUUUCGAAUCGUAAAGCUCUGUCCUAUGGGAAGAUAAUGACGGUACCAUAGGAGGAAGCCCCGGCUAACUACGUGCCAGCAGCCGCGGUAAUACGUAGGGGGCAAGCGUUGUCCGGAAUCACUGGGCGUAAAGGGUUCGCAGGCGGAAAUGCAAGUCAGUUGUGAAAGGCAGAGGCUCAACCUCUGUAAGCAAUUGAAACUGUAUUUCUUGAGAUGUGGGGAGGCAAGUGGAAUUCCUAGUGUAGCGGUGAAAUGCGUAGAUAUUAGGAAGAAUACCGGUGGCGAAGGCGACUUGCUGGGCACAAACUGACGCUGAGGAACGAAAGCGUGGGUAGCAAACAGG